rnacentral:tRNA from 2 species
CUCAGUUGGUAGAGCCCCGGAUUGUGAUUCCGGUUGUCGUGGGUUCGAGCCCCAUUAGCCACCCCA